UACGUAGGGUGCAAGCGUUGUCCGGAAUUAUUGGGCGUAAAGGAGCUCGUGAGGCGGUCUGUCGCGUCGGCUGUGAAAUCCCGAGGCUCAACCUCGGGUCUGCAGUCGAUACGGGCAAACUAGAGUAUUGCAGGGGAGACUGGAAUUCCUGGUGUAGCGGUGAAAUGCGCAGAUAUCAGGAGGAACACCGGUGGCGAAGGCGGGUCUCUGGGCCGAAACUGACGCUGAGGAGCGAAAGCGUGGGGAGCGAACAGG
rnacentral:rRNA from 1 species